UGUGCUUGCAGAGACAGGUGCUGUGUUGACUCAAGGUUUAAUGAAUUCAGGGCUAUGCAGGAUCUGCUUUGUUAAAAAAAGUGCUUGAAGGCAGUCUGCUGGUUAAAAGUCAUCACCAUUCUCUAAUCUCAAGUACCCAGGGACACAAUAUACUGCAGCGGCAGGGACCUAGGAAAGCCAGAUAGAGCAGAAACAAGAGAAGCAGAGUGACCGCCUUCACAGGACUUACAUUUAGUGAAGAAACACGCAGCAAAGAAGUAAAGACAUAAAGUCAUCAAUUGGAAGAAUCUGUGUGGAGACCAAGAGUUCUGUGGGCCAGUGACAGAAAAGGCUACUGUGGGAUGUAACAUUUGAGCAGAGGAAGAACCUCUGCUGUGGGGGUCAGAAGAACGUCCUUAUUUUGCUCUCACAUAUAUAGUUUGGCCAGGUAUAGAAUUCGAGGUUCACAAUCACAUUGCCUGUGAAAAGCUUGGUGUUGGCCUGGUUCUGAUUUUUAUGUCUUCAUAGGUAACUCUCAACUUCCUUUCCCUUGCCCCUGGAAAAUUGUAGAGACUUCUAUUUGUCGCUGGCAUUCUAAAAUUUCAUGAACAUUUUUCUGAUGUGUUUUUCCCUCAGUUUUCCCACAAUGCUCAGAGUGCUUGGAAAGCCUUUCAGUCUGAAGACCCAUGUUUUAACUGUUUCUUAAUCUCUUCUUCUCUUCUUACAGAUUAUUUCUCCCCCUUGCUCUCUCUGUUCCAUUCUUCUCCAGUUCGGGGGAAAUUGGGCCUCUAAUUGCUUCUCUUGGUCUCUCAACAUCUGUUCAUGUUUUCCAUGUCUUUAUAUUUCUUUCUCUGCACUCUGGCAGAAUUCCUUGUUUUAUGUUUCCAGCCACUUUAUUCAACUUGGGGUAGGACUGGGCAGAGGCAAUCAGGACUUUGAGGGUCACAGUAACCUAUUUCUGGUCCUGGGUGGUGGUUCCCAGGGGGGUUUUUAUUGCAAUCAUUUGUUGAGUAGCACAACUGUUUUAUGCCUUUCAUCUGUAAAUAGAUUGCAUUUCACAACUUUUUAAAAAGUUGAACAAACUCUCUAAUCCUCAGAUUGCUCCUUUUUCUCAGAAGAUGUUGUUCUGUGAACGCAGCCACUUCUUAAAGAGUGUCUGGCAAGCCCUGCCUACCAUUUGUGUAUUAUGGAUGAAGGCGAGAAAGGUGUCUCCUGCAUUGCUGGCCUCUCCCACGGGAGAGAAAGCAACAUCAGAGAGGCCAGUAGCCCCACUGGAGGCCCGACGACCAGGCAUGCUUAAGGAAUUCAUGAGGUCCACUGCAGAGGAGGCUGGGAUGGAGGCUGAAGUGCAGUGGUGUGAUCUCGGCUCGCUGCAACCUCCACCUCCCAGGUGUGCUUUGCAGGAGGACUUGCAAGCAGAGGUCACCAGUGAGCACAGGUGUCUCAAAGAAGGGUGGAAGUUCUAAUGUCCGUCAGUUACCCAUAAGAAUGCUGUUUGCUGCAGUUCUGUGUCCUGUGCUUGGCUGCUUUUUAUGAGUUGUCUAUGUUGGAAAUUCGUAAAACUGAUUUAAGUUAAAAAAAAAAAAAAAAAAAGAAAAGGAGAAUGUUUAGGUUGCAUCUAUUCUUACCUAAUUAAAACUUACUAAAAUGUAA